rnacentral:lncRNA from 1 species
UCUCCAUUAAUAUCUUAGAAUAUCAUUUGUAUCUGUGGAUUUUAGCUUUCACUGUCAUCCAAAUGAUUCCACUUCAGAUUGAGUCCUAAUCUGCAACAACUCUUUGCAGCUUACAAUCAGUUGAACAUGCAUUCUCUCUCAAUCUUUAUGGAUGGCUUUAAGUUCAUUAACUUUUGUUAUGACGAAGUUGAUGAUGAUGAUUAUUCUGAACACUGUAUUCGCUGCAAAGAUGCAUACCAUACAGCCCCAAGGCACAUUAGGACAGAGGACCAUCAUCAAAACAUUAUCUAUUCUGACUCACCCAGUGCACUGCAGCCUCUGAUCUCUCAGAAAUUUUCCUGCUUAUCUAAUCGUCUUUAGAAAGCUUUCUCUUUUGUCAAAAAGAGGAAUGAACUGACUGACACUGUUAUCAAUCUGUGAAUGACUAUUUCUAAUCAUUCACAAAUUUUCAGUGUCCCUAAUACUUAAAUAAACUGCUUUAUAAUUACUCAGUAUCAACUAGUGGGU